rnacentral:rRNA from 1 species
UACGUAGGGUGCAAGCGUUAAUCGGAAUUACUGGGCGUAAAGCGUGCGCAGGCGGUUCUAUAAGACAGGUGUGAAAUCCCCGGGCUUAACCUGGGAAUGGCAUUUGUGACUGUAGGACUAGAGUGUGUCAGAGGGGGGUGGAAUUCCACGUGUAGCAGUGAAAUGUGUAGAUAUGUGGAGGAACACCAAUGGCGAAGGCAGCCCCCUGGGAUAACACUGACGCUCAUGCACGAAAGCGUGGGGAGCAAACAGG